CCUACGGGUGGCAGCAGUGAGGAAUAUUGGUCAAUGGGCGGAAGCCUGAACCAGCCAAGUAGCGUGCGGGAUGAAGGCCCUACGGGUCGUAAACCGCUUUUGCACGGGGAUAACACCCUCCACUUGUGGAGGUCUGCAGGUACCGUGCGAAUAAGGGCCGGCUAAUUCCGUGCCAGCAGCCGCGGUAAUACGGAAGGCCCGAGCGUUAUCCGGAUUUAUUGGGUUUAAAGGGUGCGUAGGCGGUCCGUUAAGUCAGCGGUAAAAUUGCGGGGCUCAACCCCGUCGAGCCGUUGAAACUGGCAGACUUGAGUUGGCGAGAAGUACGCGGAAUGCGCGGUGUAGCGGUGAAAUGCAUAGAUAUCGCGCAGAACUCCGAUUGCGAAGGCAGCGUACCGGCGCCAGACUGACGCUGAGGCACGAAAGCGUGGGGAUCGAACAGGAUUAGAUACCCUUGUAGUC
rnacentral:rRNA from 1 species